CCUUACCAGGUCUUGACAUACUCGUGCUAUUCCUAGAGAUAGGAAGUUCCUUCGGGACACGGGAUACAGGUGGUGCAUGGUUGUCGUCAGCUCGUGUCGUGAGAUGUUGGUUAAGUCCGCAACGAGCGCAACCCCUAUUGUUAGUUGCCAUCAUUAAGUUGGGCACUCUAACGAGACUGCCGGUGAUAAACCGGAGGAAGGUGGGGAUGACGUCAAAUCAUCAUGCCCCUUAUGACCUGGGCUACACACGUGCUACAAUGGAUGGUACAACGAGUCGCGAGACAGUGAUGUUUAGCUAAUCUCUUAAAACCAUUCUCAGUUCGGAUUGUAGGCUGCAACUCGCCUACAUGAAGUCGGAAUCGCUAGUAAUCGCGGAUCAGCACGCCGCGGUGAAUACGUUCCCGGGCCUUGUACACACCGCCCGUCACACCACGGGAGUUGGGAGUACCCGAAGUAGGUUGCCUAACCGCAAGGAGGGCGCUUCCUAAGGUAAGACCGAUGACUGGGGUGAAGUCGUAACAAGGUAAGCGUAGCGAG
rnacentral:rRNA from 1 species